GACGAACGCUGGCGGCGGGCUUAACACAUGCAAGUCGAACGGAAAGGCCCUGCUUGUGUGGGGUGCUCGAGGGGCGAACGGGUGAGGAACACGUGAGUAACCUGCCCUUGACUUUGGGAUAACUUCAGGAAACUGGGGCUAAUACCGGAUAGGAGAUCCUGCUGCAGGGUGGGGGGGGGAAAGUUUCGGCGGUUGGGGAUGGACUCGCGGCUUAUGAGCUUGUUGGUGGGGUAGUGGCUUACCAAGGCUUUGACGGGUCGCCGGCCUGAGAGGGUGGCCGGCCACAUUGGGCCUGAGAUACGGCCCAGACUCCUACGGGAGGCAGCAGUGGGGAAUAUUGCACAAUGGGCGGAAGCCUGAUGCAGCAACGCCGCGUUCGUGAUGACGGCCUUCGGGUUGUAAACCGCUUUCGCCUGUGACGAAGCGUGAGUGACGGUAAUGGGUAAAGAAGCACCGGCUAACUACGUG
rnacentral:rRNA from 1 species